rnacentral:rRNA from 1 species
CCUACGGGGGGCAGCAGUGAGGAAUAUUGGUCAAUGGACGAGAGUCUGAACCAGCCAAGUAGCGUGAAGGAUGACUGCCCUAUGGGUUGUAAACUUCUUUUAUAUGGGAAUAAAACGUUCCACGUGUGGGAUUUUGUAUGUACCAUAUUAAUAAGGAUCGGCUAACUCCGUGCCAGCAGCCGCGGUAAUACGGAGGAUCCGAGCGUUAUCCGGAUUUAUUGGGUUUAAAGGGAGCGUAGGUGGAUUGUUAAGUCAGUUGUGAAAGUUUGCGGCUCAACCGUAAAAUUGCAGUUGAAACUGGCAGUCUUGAGUACAGUAGAGGUGGGCGGAAUUCGUGGUGUAGCGGUGAAAUGCUUAGAUAUCACGAAGAACUCCGAUUGCGAAGGCAGUUCACUGGACUGCAACUGACACUGAGGCUCGAAAGUGUGGGUAUCAAACAGGAUUAGAUACCCGAGUAGUC